CGUAGAGCUGAUCAGCCUCGAGGAGGAGACUAUAAAUGAGAGAACCUGAGGCUGAGAGUCACUUGUUCCAGCAUCUCUGACAGUAAUGCAGUGGCGCGCCCUUCUAGUGUUGGUCCUGGUGGCCGUUUGGGCCGUCGACGUCAACGCCGCACCUGCGGCUGAGGCUGAGGCUGUGGCUGAGCCGUGCUGCGGCGGUAGACGCCGAAGUGGCGGUGGAGGCUUUGGCGGCGGCGGCGGCUUCGGAGGUGGAAGUCGUGGAGGUGGAGGCUUUGGCGGCGGCGGAGGAGGAGGCUUUGGCAAGUAGAGGCGGUGGACCUGCCUCGACGACCUCUGCUUCACCAACACGACAACUCUCUGGACCAUCCCAACAACUACCCUUAAUUAAUUUGAUCACAAUUAUCUCCAGAAAAAGACAAAAUUACAAUUAAUUCCAAUGUAUUUUUUCUCUAGAACAAAUUGUAAACCCAUAAUGAGGUGAAUUAUAUCAAGAAUAAAUAAUUAUCAUUC